AUGAACGCUGGCGGCGUGCCUAAUACAUGCAAGUCGAGCGAACGGACGAGAAGCUUGCUUCUCUGAUGUUAGCGGCGGACGGGUGAGUAACACGUGGAUAACCUACCUAUAAGACUGGGAUAACUUCGGGAAACCGGAGCUAAUACCGGAUAAUAUUUUGAACCGCAUGGUUCAAAAGUGAAAGACGGUCUUGCUGUCACUUAUAGAUGGAUCCGCGCUGCAUUAGCUAGUUGGUAAGGUAACGGCUUACCAAGGCAACGAUGCAUAGCCGACCUGAGAGGGUGAUCGGCCACACUGGAACUGAGACACGGUCCAGACUCCUACGGGAGGCAGCAGUAGGGAAUCUUCCGCAAUGGGCGAAAGCCUGACGGAGCAACGCCGUGUGAGUGAUGAAGGUCUUCGGAUCGUAAAACUCUGUUAUUAGGGAAGAACAUAUGUGUAAGUAACUGUGCACAUCUUGACGGUACCUAAUCAGAAAGCCACGGCUAACUACGUG
rnacentral:rRNA from 1 species